rnacentral:rRNA from 1 species
CGUGAGUGGCGGACGGGUGAGUAACGCGUGGGUAACCUGCCUCAUACAGGGGGAUAACAGUUAGAAAUGACUGCUAAUACCGCAUAAGACCACAGCACCGCAUGGUGCAGGGGUAAAAACUCCGGUGGUAUGAGAUGGACCCGCGUCUGAUUAGGUAGUUGGUGGGGUAACGGCCUACCAAGCCGACGAUCAGUAGCCGACCUGAGAGGGUGACCGGCCACAUUGGGACUGAGACACGGCCCAA